UUAACACCCUCACAAUACACUAUUCACAUCAGUUUAGCAAAUACAAACUGACGUUUUUCGCCAGAGCCCUUCUGAAUGUCCGUUUGAGCUCAAAUUUGACAGUUAGGCUUGAUUUCACUUAACUUAACAAAAGAAAUUUUAAUCUUUCAGUUUCGACCCCGUUUGGUCACCGAAAGCUCUACCGAACUGUAAUCUCUAGCAGAUAGCAGUCGAAUUUGAUUUUUCACCUUCCGGGUGUCAGAAUGACAUGAAACUUUAAAUCUAGCCUUAUAAAAAUAAUUCUAACAUAUUCUCUAGUUUUCAUAAUUUUCUGACACUGUGCAUUUUCUGCUAAAAUAUCACUCCCGUUUCACACAGAAAAUUCUAAAUCUUCUAUUUUCGUUCCGAUUUCAGCACAAGUCAUUUCUGACUUAUAUUUUACAUCCCUGAAUCCAAUAAAAAUAGUAUCUCACACUAUUUUUAUUUAUUUUUACUUUUAUACCAAAAUCUGGUAUGUUACAGUUGCAAUGCUCAUAUGACCCUUAACUAUAAGGUUGUUAUGUCAUAAUGUCAACUU
rnacentral:lncRNA from 1 species